rnacentral:rRNA from 1 species
UACGAAGGGGGCUAGCGUUGCUCGGAAUCACUGGGCGUAAAGGGUGCGUAGGCGGGUCUUUAAGUCAGGGGUGAAAUCCUGGAGCUCAACUCCAGAACUGCCUUUGAUACUGGCAGUCUCGUGAGUCCGGGAGAGGUGAGUGGAACUGCGAGUGUAGAGGUGAAAUUCGUAGAUAUUCGCAAGAACACCAGUGGCGAAGGCGGCUCACUGGCCCGGACUCGACGCUGAGGUGCGAAAGCGUGGGGAGCAAACAGGG